rnacentral:lncRNA from 1 species
UUCUAACCCACCCACCACAAGUAAGGACGUCCCAAUUUCAUUUCAUUCUAAUGUUAUUCCUCCCAAUGUCCCUUUUCCUAGCAGGUUUUUGAUUCCCAAGCAAGAAGAGAGUGAAAAAGACAUUGUGGAAGCUCUUCCAAAGGUGCAACAGGAUAUUCCAAUUCUUGGUGCAACAAAGCAAGUUCUAGAUCGUGUUGAAUAUUUCAAAGGCCUUUGUUUCCCAAGAAGAAUGAUUCAAGAGAAAGUAGUGGCUAAAGAAUGUCAAGACUUCAUCAAAGAGGACAAAUUUGAAACAACAAAGCCCAAAGAAGUUGAAUUUGAUGACAUUGGACAAGUCACAACCAUCAUAGUAAAUCUGGCCAAGUCCAAUAUCCCUGAAACUUUCAAAGGAGUGGUGUUUGUCAUUGAGUUCUUGUCGGACAAAGCAAGUAAGUUAUCUUCUCCAAUUUCCAUUACAUUUUAUACUAACUUGCUGAUUUUGAUGAAUCAGGUACCUACACUAGAAUCUAAACCAAUGCCGGUUCAUUUCAAGUAUCAUCGUCCAUUCAAAGAUCAAAUCCAUGUCGUGGGACCUAGGGGAGCUUAAAGAGAAGCAUUCAAAUAAGGAAGAUUGAGGACAAUGCCGUGGGACCUAGGAAUUGCUCUAACAACCAGAUUUGAGUUUCUAAAACCCUUCACUUUGUUGCUUGUUUCUAAUCUGCCAGUUUUGUUUUUAACUUGCUGUUUGUGUGUUUCUUUGUGUUUUGUGUGAGUUUAUGCUUGAAACAUUGAGGACAAUGUUUGAUUUAAGUGUGAGGGGGGUAAAUAAGUGUUUUUGAUGCAAAUUCGUGGGAUUUUAUCACCCUUUACUUAUAGACUUGUUCCUUGUUGUUUUUCAGUGUUUUUGGGCAGUUUUUGUGUGUUUUGAAGUAAAAAUCCGAAAAUCACAUAAACAUUUGAAAAAUUUGUUUUAAACACCCAAAAAGAGUUGUUUUUGUGUGUUUGUUUUUUGUCUUAGGGUACCUUCCAACACAACGAUGAGGAUUCGGUUUGUAAUUACAUGGCUGUUAAAGAGAGUGAUUAACAUGGAUGAAAGUUUGAUUUACUCUUUGUUUAUGCUUAGUUGUGGUUAUAACUUAUGAAUUCACAUGCAAUCAUAAAGGAAAAAUCAGUUUUUGUAACAUGCUUGAAGGAAGGAACUCAAACUAACGCUACAACCUUGUGAGACUUGAGCCUAAACGUUUAUUUGGAGAGUUAAAUUCUGUGCAUUCUUUGUUUUCUAAGUCUUUGCAUGAUCUCAUUAUUCCUUGCUUGGUUACUAUUUAGAAGGCGUUUCAUCAUUUAGUUCCAAAUGCUAGAACUCAUGCCCAUUUCAUUCAAAGCAUGUUAUUGAUUUGCAUAACACAUAUUCAAGAUGAAGUUGUGUAGUGACCACCACCUUAGCCAAAUGCCGUGUGCCCUAUGUCAUUAUGUUUUGUAGGUUUUUAACCCCGUUGAGCCUUGUUAACCUUCAUUCUUUGUUAACCCACAUUACCCUCACCUAGCCUAGAUUAGGACUAUCCAUACCCUUGUUCUUGAAGCAUAGUAAAGCAUGAUUCAAAUUGAAUUCCUUUUGAUUUAUGUUGGCAGAAAAUAAGUGUGGGGGAAGUGUUUUUCAUGAGGAAUUGUGUGCCAUAGGCACGGCAAAGAAAAGAAAAGAAAAAAAAAUUUCGUGGAAAAAGAAAAAUUGAAGAAAAAAAUAUGAAAAGUUUGAAAAAAAGAGUUGAAAAGUUGAGAAAAAGAGUUCCAAAGUAUUGUUUGUUGAAGUAAGGGUCCAAAACAAUGAAUUUGGCCCUAAGGAGUUGUUUAAGUCUUCCCCUUGUGUUUUAAAGUUAAUUUCUGCAAUCUAAGUGAAUUCUAAGUCUCAAUUUCAUUGCUUUGCUUACUAUUGCUUGAAGAACGUUUGUUUUCCCUAUCCUUUCCUUGUUAACCAACACCCCAAGCCCCAUUACAACCCUUAACUUCUAUCUUGAGUGUUAUGUGU